rnacentral:rRNA from 1 species
AGAGUUUGAUCCUGGCUCAGAUUGAACGCUGGCGGCAUGCCUUACACAUGCAAGUCGAACGGCAGCACGGGAGCUUGCUCCUGGUGGCGAGUGGCGAACGGGUGAGUAAUAUAUCGGAACGUACCCUAGAGUGGGGGAUAACGCAGCGAAAGUUGCGCUAAUACCGCAUACGAUCUACGGAUGAAAGUGGGGGAUCGCAAGACCUCAUGCUCAUGGAGCGGCCGAUAUCUGAUUAGCUAGUUGGUAGGGUAAAAGCCUACCAAGGCUUCGAUCAGUAGCUGGUCUGAGAGGACGACCAGCCACACUGGAACUGAGACACGGUCCAGACUCCUACGGGAGGCAGCAGUGGGGAAUUUUGGACAAUGGGCGCAAGCCUGAUCCAGCAAUGCCGCGUGAGUGAAGAAGGCCUUCGGGUUGUAAAGCUCUUUUGUCAGGGAAGAAACGGUGGACUCUAAUACAGAUCACUAAUGACGGUACCUGAAGAAUAAGCACCGGCUAACUACGUGCCAGCAGCCGCGGUAAUACGUAGGGUGCAAGCGUUAAUCGGAAUUACUGGGCGUAAAGCGUGCGCAGGCGGUUGUGCAAGACAGAUGUGAAAUCCCCGGGCUCAACCUGGGAAUUGCAUUUGUGACUGCACGGCUAGAGUGUGUCAGAGGGGGGUAGAAUUCCACGUGUAGCAGUGAAAUGCGUAGAGAUGUGGAGGAAUACCGAUGGCGAAGGCAGCCCCCUGGGAUAACACUGACGCUCAUGCACGAAAGCGUGGGGAGCAAACAGGAUUAGAUACCCUGGUAGUCCACGCCCUAAACGAUGUCUACUAGUUGUUGGGUCUUAAUUGACUUAGUAACGCAGCUAACGCGUGAAGUAGACCGCCUGGGGAGUACGGUCGCAAGAUUAAAACUCAAAGGAAUUGACGGGGACCCGCACAAGCGGUGGAUGAUGUGGAUUAAUUCGAUGCAACGCGAAAAACCUUACCUACCCUUGACAUGUACGGAAUCCCUGAGAGAUUAGGGAGUGCUCGAAAGAGAGCCGUAACACAGGUGCUGCAUGGCUGUCGUCAGCUCGUGUCGUGAGAUGUUGGGUUAAGUCCCGCAACGAGCGCAACCCUUGUCAUUAGUUGCUACGAAAGGGCACUCUAAUGAGACUGCCGGUGACAAACCGGAGGAAGGUGGGGAUGACGUCAAGUCCUCAUGGCCCUUAUGGGUAGGGCUUCACACGUCAUACAAUGGUACAUACAGAGGGCCGCCAACCCGCGAGGGGGAGCUAAUCCCAGAAAGUGUAUCGUAGUCCGGAUUGUAGUCUGCAACUCGACUACAUGAAGUUGGAAUCGCUAGUAAUCGCGGAUCAGCAUGUCGCGGUGAAUACGUUCCCGGGUCUUGUACACACCGCCCGUCACACCAUGGGAGCGGGUUUCACCAGAAGUAGGUAGCCUAACCGUAAGGAGGGCGCUUACCACGGUGGGAUUCGUGACUGGGGUGAAGUCGUAACAAGGUAGCCGUAUCGGAAGGUGCGGCUG